CAAAGCUUUCUGUAGAUCCACCUCUGGGGGGCGCUCUUGUGCUGCUGCUGCCUUUUUCUGGGUGCUGUAGCUCAAGCCCAGAUGCCCUCAGUAGCUUGAUGACUGUACAGUCGGAGGUGCUUGAGUCAUUGGCGUGUGAGAACAGUUUACAUGCUUCACUGAGCACACACU